GGGGGUGACGGGGGAGCGCCUACGCGCACCCUCAAACGCUUUGUUGACUUAUACCUUACUGUUGCCUCGGCGCAUGCUGGCCCCCUUGGGGUCCCCUGGAGGCAGGGAGCAUGCGCGCCGGAGGUCAAGUUAACUCUUGUUUUAACACUGAAACUCUGAGAAAACACACAAAUGAAUCAAAACUUUCAACAUCCGAUCUCUUGGUUCUGGCAUCGAUGAAGAAAGCAGCGAAAUGCGAUAAGUAAUGUGAAUUGCACAAUUCAGUGAAUCAUCGAAUCUUUGAACGCACAUUGCGCCCUCUGGUAUUCCGGAGGGCAUGCCUGUUCGAGCGUCGUUUCAACCCUCAAGCAUUGCUUGGUGUUGGGGCACUGCUUUUUACCAAGCAAGCCCUGACAUCUAGUGGCGAGCUCGCCAGGACCCCAAGCGCAUUAGUUAAACCCUCGCUUCGGAAGGCCCUGGCCGUGCCCUGCCGUUAAACCCCCAACUUCUGAAAAUUUGACCUCGGAUCAAGGAGGAAUACCCGCUGAACUUAUGCAUAUAAAAGGGGGGAAGAGAAAA
rnacentral:rRNA from 1 species